rnacentral:tRNA from 1 species
CCCGCCUUAACUCAGCUUGGUAGAGUGCGCGGCUGUAGUAUGAUUUGCCGCAACCAGGCAAUUGCGCAGCUACCGCGAUGUCCCCGGUUCGAAUCCGGGAGGCGGGA